GCAGUCGAGCGGUACAGGUCUAGUUUACUAAUGCUGACGAGCGGCGGACGGCUGAAUAACGCGUGGGAACAUGCCCCAAAGUGAGGAAUAACUGCCCAAAAGGGUAGCUAAUGCCGCAGAUGAUCUUCGGAUUAAAGGAUUUAUCCGCUUUGGGAGUGGCCUGCGUACGAUUAGGUAGUUGGUGAGGUAAAGGCUCACCAAGCCUACCAUCGUUAACUGGUCUGAGAGGAUGAUCAGUCAGACUGGAACUGAGACACGGUCCAGACUCCUACGGGAGGCAGCAGUGAGGAAUCUUCCAGAAUGGGCGAAAGCCUGAUGGAGCGACGCCGCGUGCAGGAUGAAGGCCCUCGGGUUGUAAACUGCUUUUAUAAGUGAAGAAUAUGACGGUAACUUAUGAAUAAGCACCGGCUAACUACGUGCCAGCAGCCGAGUAAUACCAGAAGUCGUGCCUCUCCCAGU
rnacentral:rRNA from 1 species